GCAGCUGCCUGUUUGCCUCCCCGAGGAGAAGUCACAGGAGCUCAGCGGCGAUAACAGAGGCAGGAGACGCGGGAAACACAGCAGCUGUGUGCUCCUGAAGCACGUGCCCGGCUUCCCUGGCGGCUCAGAUGGCCCAGCCCAGCAGAGCCCUCCAGAGGUGGACGCCCAGCGGAUGGACGCGGCGCUCAGCCCGGCUCCGAGGACACCGCUGCUGGGUGACCGAGACGCUGUCUGAGUCCUGUCAACGUCAGGAUGUGAGGGGAAGCUCUGGCUGCAGCCCCUACACUUCCAAGAGACGUCCAGGAGGCCCGGGGUGCUUGUGGUAUAGGCCAGCAGGGUCCUCACCAGAAACACCCCAAACAGCCAGCAGGCAGAGUGCAGGGGGCCCGCGAGGAGGCAGGCAGCUGGCCACAGGACGCCCAGGACGGCUGUGCAGCGUGUCUACAGUCAGACCCCAGGACCUUCUGGAGGGUGAGCCCUGCGAGGGGCGCCAUCCCUCACUGCGCUCUGCAAGGUUCUUCCCCCCACAUGCACGCACCUGUCC
ensembl:lncRNA